AGUGAACCAGCCAUGUGCACCAUGCAGCCAUUUUGUAGCAAUAUACUGUAAUAUACUGUUUGUGUCAUAUUAUUGUUGUACUUUUAAAGAAAAUGAAUAACUUCUAGCGUCCACCGAUAUGGUUCACCUGCACCAUUAAUAAAAGGCAAUUAGUGAGCAGCUUUCUCAGCAGGGACCGCCACUAUGGCAACGAAGCAACAAAACAAGUGCCACCACGGUGAAAGAGUGUCCUCUUCUGAAAGCCUGCAAGCAAACCGGAAGCUCCAGAGACUCCAGCCUGAGGUGUGAUCCAGGUCCGGAAGCUUCCACCUUAAGGAAACAGCCCAGGGUGACAAGCUCAAGUCCAAAGGGAGGUUGUCUUUCCAUCAAAAAUUCAAGUUCAACAUCUAGAACUGGUAGGACCAGAUUGAGGCCCUUUGCUCGGCCCAGCAUCCUGCCCUCGCUCGCCUCUCCAAGACAGAAGGACAACAAAACUUGAUGUCCUACAGUCCGGUUCGAAGAAAUGGCCCUUACGUGAGGGUCAGGUUCAACAAUGUUAGCCAGCUCACAGCAGGUGCGUGUCAAAGGAGGGGAAAAAGGAGAUUUAGUGUAUGCAAAGCGACCAAAGACGUCAGACAAAGUGACCCGUGGCUGCGAGCGGGGGAGGAAAAUAUUUAACUGUUACACCAAAUUUGUUCCCCCAAGUGCCCUGAAGACACAUGAAAAUAUGCAAAGUUUUUGGUAUAAUGCAUGCAGGUAAAUGUCACACACACGCACACCCUGAGGUGAAACUGUAACAGGGAUAUUUUUUUUUCUUAACCCCCAAAGCUUAAAAUGUAUUUUCUCUCGCCAAUCAACUGACAGGAGGUGUGCAGUAAAAUGUGCAUAUCAGUGAUAGUAAUUUAAAAAAUAAAAAAACACUAAAAGGGCUUCAUCUGUUACACUAUGUGAAACACACACACGCAACACAAAAGUGAUGAGAAUCAAUAAUUUGUAACACACUGGCCACAGAUUACAUCAUGAAUUUGUGCAAUGAAUUAGUCUGAUUAGGCUUCUAUUAAAUUGGAUUUAGUCAAAGCAGCAGCAGCAGCAGCACUGGGACUUGAAGGUUAAAUUUGAUAUAAUUGAUUUGGAAUUGGAUUAGGACGCUUUUCAUCUUUUACACCAUCAUCUAUUUCCCCCCCCCAAGCCCUUUCAAAAAAACACAACAAUCCUGACAAUUCCUCAACAAGCUUGAGAAAAGUUGUUACCGAUAAAGAGAUCUUAUGGUUGAUUGAUUUUAUUUUUUUAAACUUUGGUGUACAAUAAGUGUGUAUGUUAUAAAGGGGAGAAAAUCAAACUAACUUGUGCACAUUUAAGGCAUGUUAAAAUGUUAGAUGUAAUAAUUAUAAAUGAUGACACACACACCUGCAUACAAAUAAAAACAAUAAUCAAAGACUUCAAAGACUUGGAAGACUUCAAAGAUUAUUUGAUCCAUAUUAUAUAUUAAAUACACGUUUGCAGUGAAUGUUCAAUUAAAUUGUUUGUGUUUUAGGGCAAAAUUACGUAUUUUUGUUUUUUUAAACUUGCCUUGCCAAAUCCCGUCCGACAAAGGCGACUUUUUUAAUUCGCCAGCGCGCUCCGUCAAAUGAAAAGAAAGCAAGUGGACGCUUUCAAGGCGGCCAGCAAAGAGCAAAUGUUGGGAAGAAAUCGGCAAAGAGAAGACGGUUCUGGCUCACCUGGCACCGUCUCCCUGUGGCUCAACGUCAAGUGCUGCGGGUUCACCUGCUUGCGGCGGGACAUCGCCCCGGCAU